UACGAAGGGUGCGAGCGUUAUUCGGAAUCACUAGGGCGUAAAGGGUGUGUAGGCGGUGUAUUAAGUCUAUCGUUAAAUUCCUCGGCCUAACUGGGGACCCGCGAUGGAUACUGAUAUGCUGGAGGUUGGAAGAGAGGAGUGGAAUUCUCGGAGUAGCGGUAAAAUGCGUAGAUCUCGAGAGGAACACCAAUUGCGAAGGCAGCUCCUUGGUCCAUACCUGACGCUGAAACACGAAAGCGUGGGGAGCAAACAGGAUUAGAUACCCUGGUAGUCCACGCCGUAAACGAUGAUCACUAGAUGUCGGGUCUGCUUCUGCGGGCUCGGUGUCGUAGCUAACGCGAUAAGUGAUCCGCCUGGGAACUACGGUCGCAAGAUUA
rnacentral:rRNA from 1 species